GAUGAACGCUGACAGAAUGCUUAACACAUGCAAGUCUUUGGCGAAGCUGUGCUUGCACAGCCUAGCCAAGGCGGACGGGUGAGUAACGCGUAAGGAACUUGCCCUGCAGUCAGGGAUAACAGACGGAAACGACUGAUAAGACCUGGUAAAGUCAGGCGGACUCAUGUCCAGCCUGAUGAAAAGAGAUGCUGCAGGAGAGCCUUGCGCCCUAUUAGCUUGUUGGUGGGGUAACGGCCCACCAAGGCGAUGAGAGGUAGCCGGCCUGAGAGGGUGGACGGCCACAAGGGGACUGAGAUACGGCCCUUACUCCUACGGGAGGAAGGAGUGGGGAAUAAUGGACAAUGGGGGCAACCCUGAUCCAGCAAUUCUGUGUGCACGAUGAAGGUUUUCGGAGUGUAAAGUGCUUUCAGCAGGGAAGAAAAAAAUGACGGUACCUGCAGAAGAAGCGACGGCUAAAUACGUG
rnacentral:rRNA from 1 species